UACAGAGGGUGCAAGCGUUAAUCGGAAUCACUGGGCGUAAAGGGCGCGUAGGUGGCAUUUUAAGUUUCAUGUGAAAGUCCUGGGCUCAACCUGGGGAUGGCAUGGGAGACUGAAAAGCUAGAGUCAAAGAGAGGGAAGUGGAAUUUCCGGUGUAGCAGUGAAAUGCGUAGAUAUCGGAAGGAACACCAGUGGCGAAGGCGGCUUCCUGGCUUUAGACUGACACUGAGGCGCGAAAGCGUGGGUAGCGAACAGG
rnacentral:rRNA from 1 species